rnacentral:rRNA from 1 species
AACGAACGCUGGCGGCAGGCCUAACACAUGCAAGUCGAACGCUUCAGCAAUGAAGAGUGGCAGACGGGUGAGUAACGCGUGGGAACCUUCCCAGUGGUACGGAAUAGCCCAGGGAAACUUGGGGUAAUACCGUAUAAGCCCUUCGGGGGAAAGAUUUAUCGCCAUUGGAUGGGCCCGCGUCGGAUUAGCUUGUUGGUGAGGUAAAAGCUCACCAAGGCGACGAUCCGUAGCUGGUCUGAGAGGAUGAUCAGCCACACUGGGACUGAGACACGGCCCAGACUCCUACGGGAGGCAGCAGUGGGGAAUAUUGGACAAUGGGCGCAAGCCUGAUCCAGCCAUGCCGCGUGAGUGACGAAGGCCUUAGGGUUGUAAAGCUCUUUUGGCGGGGACGAUAAUGACGGUACCCGCAGAAUAAGCUCCGACUAACUUCGUG